ensembl:rRNA 5S_rRNA 5S ribosomal RNA
UUCUGUGGCCAUACACCUUGAACAUAACCAGUCUCGUCUGAUCUCAGAAGCUAAGCAGGGUUGGGCCUGCUUAGUACUUGGAAGGGAUAUAAUAUAAUUCAACUCUCCCAUUUGACAGAUGGAAAAAAGUCCAGAAG